rnacentral:lncRNA from 1 species
UGGCUGUGAUUCUACGGUCGUUCGAAGAUUGAGUCGAAGUCUUCACGGUUUCGGUGCCUCUCUCCCCGUCGCUUGGUCGCAUCCAACCAUGGCAGGUAUAAGGCUAGUUAUCCAUUGUUUUUCAGAAAUAUUACCCUCUUCAUAUCGCUGUUCGUCAGCAAGUUAUCAUAUUUCUGCUGUUACUUAGUAAGUAAUCUAGUUCGUAGACCUACUG